rnacentral:rRNA from 1 species
UACGUAGGGGGCAAGCGUUGUCCGGAUUUAUUGGGCGUAAAGAGCGUGUAGGCGGCUUUACAGGUCCGUUGUGAAAACUCGAGGCUCAACCUCGAGACGCCGGUGGAAACCGUAAAGCUAGAGUCCGGAAGAGGAGAGUGGAAUUCCCGGUGUAGCGGUGAAAUGCGCAGAUAUCGGGAGGAACACCAAUGGCGAAGGCAGCUCGCUGGGACGUGACUGACGCUGAGACGCGAAAGCGUGGGGAGCAAACGGG